rnacentral:SRP_RNA from 1 species
CCGCGCUAGGCGGGGAGCCAGCGGUGCCCUGAACCUGCAAUCCGCUAUAGCAGGGCUGAACGUUCCCCUAGGCUUCCGUUAUGGUUGGCAGGGUCGGUCAAGGAGCGUUGAUAUCAAAGUCUUAUGCAACGUGCGGUUGCGAACCGUGUCAGGAUAGGGAUAUAGCAGCACUAAACAAUUCAAGCGUGUGCCAUAAAACAACUUUGAAGUAGCCACCUAACCGAUU